rnacentral:rRNA from 1 species
AUUGAACGCUGGCGGCAGGCCUAACACAUGCAAGUCGAGCGAGCGGCGGACGGGUGUGUAAUGUAUGGGGACUGCCCGAAAGAGGGGGAUAACUACUGGAAACGUUGGCUAAUACCGCAUACUAUCGGAUAACACAUAUGGGUUUAGCUAUGGGGUGGGGUAAAGGCUCACCUAGGCGACGAUCUCUAGCUGGUCUGAGAGGAUGUUGAGCAACACGGUAACGGAGAAACGGCCCAGACUCCUACGGAGGAACCAGUGGGGAAUAUGGGACAAUGGGGGCAGUCCUGAUGAAGACAUGCGGCGUGGAUGAGGAAGGCCUUAGGUUUGUAAAGUACGUUCAGCGAGGAGGCGUUACCCGAAGAAGAAGCGACGGCUAACUCCGUGCCAGCAGCCGCGGUAAUUC